CCUGCGAAGGCAAGCGGAUCUCUUAAAGCCGUUCUCAGUUCGGACUGUAGGCUGCAACUCGCCUACACGAAGCUGGAAUCGCUAGUAAUCGCGGAUCAGCACGCCGCGGUGAAUACGUUCCCGGGCCUUGUACACACCGCCCGUCACACCAUGAGAGUCUGUAACACCCAAAGCCGGUGGGAUAACCUUUAUAGGAGUCAGCCGUCUAAGGUAGGACAGAUGAUUAGGGUGAAGUCGUAACAAGGUAGC
rnacentral:rRNA from 1 species